rnacentral:rRNA from 1 species
UAGGGAAUAUUGGGCAAUGGACGCAAGUCUGACCCAGCCAUGCCGCGUGCAGGAUGAAGGCGCUCAGCGUUGUAAACUGCUUUUGAUAGGGAAGAACGGCCUUUCUGCGGAAGGGUGUGACGGUACCUACAGAAUAAGCACCGGCUAACUCCGUGCCAGCAGCCGCGGUAAUACGGAGGGUGCAAGCGUUGUCCGGAUUUAUUGGGUUUAAAGGGUGCGUAGGUGGCUUUUUAAGUCUGACCUGAAAGUGGGCCGCUUAACGGCACAGGGCGGUUGGAUACUGAAGAGCUUGAAGAGGGUGGAGGCCGCCGGAACGGAUCGUGUAGCGGUGAAAUGCAUAGAGAUGAUCCAGAACCCCGAUUGCGUAGGCAGGCGGCUACGCCCCACUUGACACUGAGGCACGAGAGCAUGGGGAGCAAACAGG